rnacentral:rRNA from 1 species
CCUACGGGAGACAGCAGUGGGGGAUAUUGCACAAUGGGGGGAACCCUGAUGCAGCGACGCCGCGUGGGUGAAGGAGGGUUUCGGCGCGUAAAGCCCUAUCGGCAGGGAAGAAGGAGGACGGUACCGGACGAAGAAGCCCCGGCUAACUACGUGCCAGCAGCCGCGGUAAUACGAAGGGGGCAAGCGUGAUCCGGAUUUACGGGGUGUAAAGGGGGCGCAGACGGCAGCGCAAGCCAGGAGUGAAAGCCCGGGGCCCAACCCCGGGACUGCUCUUGGAACUGCGCGGCUGGGGUGCAGGUGGGGCAGUCGUACUUCCUGGUGUCGCGGUGAACUGCGUCGCUCUCAGGAGUAACACCGGUGUCUACGUCGGCCUGCUGGACUGCGACUUACGUUGCGGCC